rnacentral:rRNA from 1 species
GUCGAGCGCACUCUUCGGAGUGAGCGGCGGACGGGUUAGUAACGCGUGGGAACAUACCCUUUUCUACGGAAUAGCCUCGGGAAACUGAGAGUAAUACCGUAUACGCCCUUCGGGGGAAAGAUUUAUCGGAGAAGGAUUGGCCCGCGUUUGAUUAGAUAGUUGGUGGGGUAAUGGCUUACCAAGUCUACGAUCAAUAGCUGGUUUGAGAGGAUGAUCAGCAACACUGGGACUGAGACACGGCCCAGACUCCUACGGGAGGCAGCAGUGGGGAAUCUUAGACAAUGGGCGCAAGCCUGAUCUAGCCAUGCCGCGUGAGUGACGAAGGCCUUAGGGUCGUAAAGCUCUUUCGCCAGAGAUGAUAAUGACAGUAUCUGGUAAAGAAACCCCGGCUAACUCCGUGCCAGCAGCCGCGGUAAUACGGAGGGGGUUAGCGUUGUUCGGAAUUACUGGGCGUAAAGCGUACGUAGGCGGAUUAGAAAGUAGGGGGUGAAAUCCCAGGGCUCAACCCUGGAACUGCCUCCUAAACUACUAGUCUAGAGUUCGAGAGAGGUGAGUGGAAUUCCAAGUGUAGAGGUGAA